rnacentral:rRNA from 1 species
GUAGGGAAUAUUGCGCAAUGGGGGAAACCCUGACGCAGCAACGCCGCGUGGGUGAAGAAGGCCUUCGGGUUGUAAAGCCCUGACAGGAGGGACGAAAUGCGGUCCGGAACAAUACCCGGUCCGUUUGACGGUACCUCCAGAGGAAGCACCGGCCAACUCCGUGCCAGCAGCCGCGGUAAUACGGAGGGUGCAAGCGUUGUUCGGAUUCACUGGGCGUAAAGCGCGUGUAGGCGGUCCGUUAGGUCAGAUGUGAAAUCCCCCGGCUCAACCGGGGAAGUGCAUUUGAAACCGGCGGGCUUGAGUACGGGAGAGGGAAGCGGAAUUCCUAGUGUAGAGGUGAAAUUCGUAGAUAUUAGGAGGAACACCUGUGGCGAAGGCGGCUUCCUGGACCGAUACUGACGCUGAGACGCGAAAGCGUGGGGAGCAAACAGGAUUAGAUACCCUGGUAGUCC